rnacentral:rRNA from 1 species
AUUGAACGCUGGCGGCAUGCUUUACACAUGCAAGUCGAACGGUAACAGGGAGCUUGCUCCGCUGACGAGUGGCGAACGGGUGAGUAAUGCGUCGGAACGUGCCGAGUAGUGGGGGAUAACGCAGCGAAAGUUGUGCUAAUACCGCAUACGUACUGAGGUAGAAAGUGGGGGACCCUCGGGCCUCACGCUAUUCGAGCGGCCGACGUCUGAUUAGCUAGUAGGUGAGGUAAAGGCUCACCUAGGCGACGAUCAGUAGCGGGUCUGAGAGGAUGGUCCGCCACACUGGGACUGAGACACGGCCCAGACUCCUACGGGAGGCAGCAGUGGGGAAUUUUGGACAAUGGGCGAAAGCCUGAUCCAGCCAUGCCGCGUGUCUGAAGAAGGCCUUCGGGUUGUAAAGGACUUUUGUCGGGGAGGAAAUCCCCAGCGCUAAUACCGCUGGGGGAUGACAGUACCUGAAGAAUAAGCACCGGCUAACUACGUGCCAGCCGCCGCCGUAAUAC